rnacentral:rRNA from 1 species
UUGCACGCUGGCGGCAUGCCUUACACAUGCACGUCGAACGGCAGCACGGGUGCUUGCCCCUGGUGGCGAGUGGCGAACGGGUGAGUAAUACAUCGGAACAUGUCCUGUAGUGGGGGAUAGCCCGGCGAAAGCCGGAUUAAUACCGCAUACGAUCUACGGAUGAAAGCGGGGGACCUUCGGGCCUCGCGCUAUAGGGUUGGCCGAUGGCUGAUUAGCUAGUUGGUGGGGUAAAGGCCUACCAAGGCGACGAUCAGUAGCUGGUCUGAGAGGACGACCAGCCACACUGGGACUGAGACACGGCCCAGACUCCUACGGGAGGCAGCAGUGGGGAAUUUUGGACAAUGGGCGAAAGCCUGAUCCAGCAAUGCCGCGUGUGUGAAGAAGGCCUUCGGGUUGUAAAGCACUUUUGUCCGGAAAGAAAUCCUUGGCCCUAAUACGGUCGGGGGAUGACGGUACCGGAAGAAUAAGCACCGGCUAACUACGUG